GAUGAACGCUGACAGAAUGCUUAACACAUGCAAGUCUUUGGCGAAGCUGUGCUUGCACAGCCUAGCCAAGGCGGACGGGUGAGUAACGCGUAAGGAACUUGCCCUGCAGUCAGGGAUAACAGACGGAAACGACUGAUAAGACCUGGUAAAGUCAGGCGGACUCAUGUCCAGCCUGAUGAAAAGAGAUGCUGCAGGAGAGCCUUGCGUCCUAUUAGCUUGUUGGUGGGGUAACGGCCCACCAAGGCGAUGAUAGGUAGCCGGCCUGAGAGGGUGGACGGCCACAAGGGGACUGAGAUACGGCCCCUACUCCUACGGGAGGCAGCAGUGGGGAAUAUUGGACAAUGGGGGCAACCCUGAUCCAGCAAUUCUGUGUGCACGAUGAAGGUUUUCGGAUUGUAAAGUGCUUUCAGCAGGGAAGAAAAAAAUGACGGUACCUGCAGAAGAAGCGACGGCUAAAUACGUG
rnacentral:rRNA from 1 species